rnacentral:rRNA from 1 species
GAAACUGCGAAUGGCUCAUUAAAUCAGUUAUCGUUUAUUUGAUAAUACCUUACUACUUGGAUAACCGUGGUAAUUCUAGAGCUAAUACAUGCUGAAAAUCCCGACUUCGGAAGGGAUGUGUUUAUUAGAUAAAAAACCAAUGCCCUUCGGGGCUUUUUGGUGAUUCAUGAUAACUUUACGGAUCGCAUAGCCUUGCGCUGGCGACGGUUCAUUCAAAUUUCUGCCCUAUCAACUUUCGAUGGUAAGGUAUUGGCUUACCAUGGUUUCAACGGGUAACGGGGAAUUAGGGUUCGAUUCCGGAGAGGGAGCCUGAGAAACGGCUACCACAUCCAAGGAAGGCAGCAGGCGCGCAAAUUACCCAAUCCCGACACGGGGAGGUAGUGACAAUAAAUACUGAUACAGGGCUCUUUUGGGUCUUGUAAUUGGAAUGAGUACAAUUUAAACCUCUUAACGAGGAACAAUUGGAGGGCAAGUCUGGUGCCAGCAGCCGCGGUAAUUCCAGCCCCAAUAGCGUAUAUUAAAGUUGUUGCAGUUAAAAAGCUCGUAGUUGAAACUUGGGCCUGGCUGGCGGGUCCGCCUCAC